GCCCCAAUAGCUUAAUGUGUAGAGUUCAAGGGACCUAACCACCUAACCUUGAGAUGCUGGUUCGAUUCCAGCUUGGGGCG
rnacentral:tRNA from 1 species